rnacentral:lncRNA from 1 species
GUGAAUGAAUUACUCAGAUAUGAAGAUCAUCAUCUAGGUUUUGUGUAGAAGGCCCCGGAUAUUUUAAGUGGCCAUUUUGGAUUUACAAUGUUUUUGGAUAAUUUUGCCCCAGAAGUUUAUUAAAAUUGGCAAGAAUCGUCUAUGAAGUGAAUUGAUAGUAGUGAACAAUUCAGCAAGCUACUUAAAAAGAGACCCAGGCAGCAUUUCUUCAGUAUUUUGGUUCAAACGGAUUAUAUAACCGGUUACAGUAUUUCAGCUGGUGGUAAUUUUUGCCUUCCCCCUCCCCCACCCCGUUGUUGGGAUUCUUCAGCCGAAACUGUGAGAGACGUUGAUUUGUGUACUGAGUAGUUUCAGCAGUUUCAAAUGACUGAGUAUUGCUGAAGUUUCAUGGCGGUUUAUUUUUACUUUUAUUGAAAGUUUUAGGAAUUUUUGACUUCAGCUCUUUCAUGUCACAAUGGGACACUUUUUCUAAAUGAAGACAUUGAAAGAAUACCGAAUUUUUUUCCUUUUAUUUACGUAGAAAUUUAAGAUGUUGCAGUUUCCCGGCAGCAUGGUAGUAUUGAGAUAGCUGUGUGUGUGUCUGUAUAUGCUGAUAUUUAGGAAUGCUCUUCAGAUGUGAAAUUUUCUUUUUGUUUUUGCUUUUUGGCUCGUAAAUUGGAUAUUUCAUCUGGAGUGGACAAGUACAGCAGUGGCAAGUACAUGGAAUAAUAAAGAAGACUGAUCUUAAAUCUAAAGAACUUGGCUAAUUCGGGAGAUAGCCAUAUGAAAACUUUAAAACAGAAGUAUGGGUAGCUGACUUGAAGUAACUCUAUGUCAAAUAGUCAUAGGUUAAGUAUUUUCAAAGAACUUCGAUAUUAUUUCAGAGGAUACAAAAUAAAAAUACAAACUGGAAAAGAAAGAUUACAAAGAAAAAACCAACACCUUCCUGUGCAGUCCUGUUGGAAUUUGUCUUGCUCUGUUGCCCAGGCUGGAGUGGUACAGUGGAACAGUCAGGGCUCACUGCAACCUCGACUUGCUGGGCUCAAGCCAUUGUCCUGCCUCAGCCCGCCCCCCCGCAAGUAGCCAAGACCACAGGUGUGUGCCACCAAGCCUGGCUAAUUGUUUUGAAUUUUAUUUUAUUAUUUUAUAUAUUUUUUUGAGACGGAAUCUUGCUGUGUUGCCCCUGCUGGAGUGCAGUGGCACGAUAUUGGCUCACUGCAACCUCUACCUCCUGGGUUCAUCCAAUUCUCCUGCCUCAGCUUCCCAAGUAGCUGGGAUUACAGUAGAGAUGGGAUUUCACCCGUUGGCUAGGCUGGUCUCGAACUCCAGGCCUCAAGUGAUUCACCCGCCUCAGCCUCCCACAGUGCUGGGAUAUAGGCGUGAACCACCACAUCUGGCCUGUUUUGAAUUUUAGUAGAGACGGGGUUUCUCUGUGUUGCCCGGGCUGAUCUUAAAUUCCUGACCUCGAGUGAUCCUUCUGCCUGGC